rnacentral:misc_RNA from 1 species
GAUGAAGAACGCAGUGAAAUGCGAUAAGUAGUGUGAAUUGCAGAAUUCAGUGAAUCAUCGAAUCUUUGAACGCACAUUGCGCCCCUCGGUAUUCCGUGGGGCAUGCCUGUUCGAGCGUCAUUUACCCCUCAAGCACUGCUUGGUGUUGGGCGUCUGUCCCGCUUCGCGCGCGGACUCGCCCCAAAGGUAUUGGCAGUGGUCGUGCCAGCUUCUCGCGCAGCACAUUGCGCUUCUCGAGGCGGUCGAUCGGCGUCCACGAAGCUCACCUCCACCGUUUGACCUCGGAUCAGGUAGGGAUACCCGCUGAACUUAAGCAUAUCAAUAAGCGGAGGA